CAUUACCUAGAGUUGUAGGCUUUGCCUGCUAUCUCUUACCCAUGUCUUUUAAGUACCUUACGUUUCCUCGGCGGGUCCGCCCGCCGAUUGGACAAUUUAAACCAUUUGCAGUUGCAAUCAGCGUCUGAAAAAACUUAAUAGUUACAACUUUCAACAACGGAUCUCUUGGUUCUGGCAUCGAUGAAGAACGCAGCGAAAUGCGAUAAGUAGUGUGAAUUGCAGAAUUCAGUGAAUCAUCGAAUCUUUGAACGCACAUUGCGCCCCUUGGUAUUCCAUGGGGCAUGCCUGUUCGAGCGUCAUUUGUACCUUCAAGCUCUGCUUGGUGUUGGGUGUUUGUCUCGCCUCUGCGUGUAGACUCGCCUCAAAACAAUUGGCAGCCGGCGUAUUGAUUUCGGAGCGCAGUACAUCUCGCGCUUUGCACUCAUAACGACGACGUCCAAAAGUACAUUUUUACACUCUUGACCUCGGAUCAGGUAGGGAUACCCGCUGAACUUAAGCAUAUCAU
rnacentral:rRNA from 1 species